UACGUAGGUGGCAAGCGUUGUCCGGAUUUAUUGGGUUUAAAGGGUGCGUAGGCGGUCUUCUAAGUCAGUUGUGAAAUACUUCAGCUUAACUGGAGAGGUGCAAUUGAUACUGGGAGACUUGAGUACUGAUGAGGUAGGCGGAGUGGACGGUGUAGCGGUGAAAUGCGUAGAGAUCCGGAGGAACACCAAAGGCGAAGGCAGUGUCCUGGGGAAUACCUGACGCUCAGGUGCGAAAGCCAGGGGAGCGAACGGG
rnacentral:rRNA from 1 species